AUAUGUCGCCUAAAGAACACGGUCUGCCUACAAAAAAGACUUUUGCUGCCUCGAGACAGUAACUAUUAUAUCAAAAUUCCCAAAGCACCAGAUUUCUACAAACGGCUUCUGGGGCCAACCUGCACUGGAGAAACGAAUUACGGACAAUUCAGCUCGCAAGGACAGACUUUUGAAAGAUGCAGAAAGGAAUGCGACAAAAUGGAAAGCUGUUUGACAUUUCGCUGGGGGUUAAAAAAGAUUAAGAUGAAGUGUUACCUCAUGACAAUGAUCUGCCGCUAUUGGGUAAAAACUACCCAUAAAAUCAUGGAACGAAGACAUAACAAAGUCCAGUUGCAUUAUACGAAGUUUUCUGUAAUUGCAACAACUUACUCAAAAACAAAAGACAGUAAGACACUUUUCUCCGAUCGAUCAUUCAAAAAAAGCCACGUCAAGUUGAUGAUGAACAGCCCGAUAUUUCAGCAGGUUGUACCAACGCGGGGAAUCUGUGCUUAUUAUUGUCUUCUGAAUCAUUGUAAAAUUUAUAAAUACAAAAAACACUUGGAUGAAUUCAAAUGUUCGCUGUAUAAAGA